GGUGUUACUCUAGAAGCACAGUUUGCUAGGGCAGAAACUCUUCUACAUGAUGUAAGUGCAAAGCUUGAGGAACUCACUGAAAAACUUCCAGGUUGUGAUGAUGAUGUGAUACAAGAGCGGCAAAAGGAAGAAGUUGAAGCGCUGAAACCAAAAGAACACGGAUUAACACUGCAGUGGGACGAAUCAUAUGUCAGCUUGCUCCUUAUGUCUAAAAAACUCAG